CCAGUAUGGAUACCAGGGAGGUCAGCCUCCACAGGCUCUAUCCAAGUGUCAGAGGAGCACAGGGCACAGAGGAGCUCGUGUUGUACAGUCCGUAACACUGGAGAAGAAGCCUUAAGUCUGCACCUACAUAUUCCUACAACUUCUUAGAGUUCUAUGGAUAAUGACUAUAUAUAUGUAGCUAAUUAAA
rnacentral:snoRNA from 1 species